AGUGAAGUUCUGUUGUGGCGCAGAUUUUUCCCACGCCCUCUGAAGCCACCAUCAGUGUAAAUGUCAUUUUUCUUUAGUCAUGUCUGAAGCUUAAUUUUUCUGUGCGCUAUUCAUAGGGCACAUCUACAUUUCUCCUACUUCUUUUGGAGCAAAUGGAGGGGCCCCAUGCCCAAGUAUGGGCUCCAUCACUUUACGGUUCCUUUAAGCCCCCAGGAAUGACCUCACCAGUUCUCCAUGAGGCCAGCUGGUGGUGCUACACCCCAAAGAACCUGCCCUCAGUGUGAGGCGCAAUCGGCCUUCCAACCUCCAGACAGAGAAGAACAAAGUGGGAUAAAUCUUGUUAGGCUGGGACAGAUUGUGUCAUGGACUUGAGGUCAUCAUUGUGAUUACUCACAGAUGAAUGGAACAGGACUCUAUUUAAAGUGCUUUUCCAUAACCUGGCUUCCAAACAUGUUGUAGUACUUGGGAAUCCCAGACAUGAGCACCUAAAGUUCACUUUUUACUCCAAACCUCCUCAGAGACGACCUCAUCGCUGCGUCAGGUCUGAGUGAGUCACUCUUUGGCGAUUUCUCCAUCAGGGCAAAGGAAUGUGGCUCUGUGAAAACAGGCGGAGACGGAAGAAUCCACUCUGUUUCUGGGAGAUUCCUGCAAGUUUACAGGAGUUACGUCAGCUGCUGAGUUGGGCUUCCUGCAGACCGCAAGUCCAGAAGCUCCGAAUCCAAACCCGUUUGCCUGCGAAGCCAAAACCAGGAGAGUUUUAAAGUCCGCCUGUGAGUCACGCAUGGAUGCAGGUUCUGGAAGGAAUGUUAACGGGAGACCCCUGAAAGCAACUCCAGCAACGGUUUGGCAGAUCAGAUGAAUCAUCUGAAGGGUCCAGCAUCUGUGGUAGCCAUCAAAGACGGGAACACGGGGAGAAAACGCACGCCGGCGAGACGUGACAGAGAGUGAGGUCAUGUGGAGUCAGCAAACGUCUGUUGGUUCUGAGGUUCACCAUCACAGUUGCUGGACAAACAUCCUGUUUUCAUCGAUUCUUUGUUCUUCGUCCCACAGAGGGCAGCAGCGUUGGCGUCACAUCUGGGGCUUGAGCUGCUGACUUCCAAGGUUUUGGAAAACGAACAAAGGCGGCGUCUUUGGGCCUCGGCGUGAAGAUGAGAUCACACAACCACACUCCAGAUGACUGAGGCCAACUGUUCCUCAUUCCUGAACAAAGGUCUGGCUGGACUUUGGAUCCGUGGGAUCAAACUUCCAGAUCUGAGAUUCUUGCAUUUUUCCUCCCUGACUUCACUUUCCGUCACGCUUUCAUCAACACUUUUACCGCUGAGAGCGAGGCGCAUGUCUGUUCUGUGACUGCCAAGGAAAAGGUUCUGGUUGAACGUUUCCACUUCCCUCCACCCUGACAUUUCUAUUCCGGUAUGCGGUGGGUUUUCAGGAAACACCGCAGCUGUGAAACACGAGCAGAGAAGAUGUCAGAGACGGCUCUAGCUGGUUUUUCUGCAGCUCCUGAAACUUCUCCAGCUUUCAAGGCUUUUCUCAAAGUUAGAAGGGAACUCUGCCAAAAAGGAAAUCGGAGUAAGAGCUGACAUCGUCCAAGGGUCUGAAAUGAACGAGUGGUUAAAAACCGCCUCAUUAGAUGAGUUUUGGCUUCUGAACACACACACGAUCUUGAAGCUGUCGUUUCACGAGGAGAAAGUGUUGCAACUUCCAUUGUCACGAACAUAGAUCAAAAAUCAGGAACCAUUUGUGGAACCUCACAAAAAUAACAGGGUAAAACCACAGAUAGGCUCCAGCAACUCUGUGACGGCGUUGAGAUGGUUUGGAAAAUGCAUGCAUGGAUGUUUAAAACUGAGACAUAUUUGUAGCUACUUACACCUUAGGGGCCUCUGAACUCACCGGUGCGUUUGCAAUCCCAGCGAUUGUUUACAAAGGCGUAGAAAUGACUCAGACGCCAUGUUUGUACAAUUUUUUAAAUCCGAAAUUUAGCUUGAACGGCUCGAGAUGAUUUUUAUCUGUGAAAUGUUUUGAUUUAGAACAAACAGAAGUAUGAUGGAGUUAUAGGGCCACACACAAAAAAUAAAAUACAUUUUUGAGAUAAAAACUUGUAGAUUUACAAGACUUAAGUGAAAGUGAGCGUUCAGAGCAGCAGGUGAACGCCACGCAGCAGCAGAGCGACUAAACCCAGUUGAACAGGUGAGCUGAAUGUU